rnacentral:rRNA from 1 species
UACGUAGGUGGCAAGCGUUGUCCGGAAUUAUUGGGCGUAAAGGGCGCGUAGGCGGUCACGCACGUCCGUUGUGAAAUCGCUCGGCUCAACUGGGCGGGGUCAGCGGAUACGGCGUGGCUGGAGCAAGCUAGGGGGCAAUGGAAUUCCCGGUGUAGUGGUGGAAUGCGUAGAUAUCGGGAGGAACACCAGUGGCGAAGGCGGUUGCCUGGAGCUUUGCUGACGCUGAUGCGCGAAAGCGUGGGGAGCGAUCCGG